CCGGUGAAGUGUUCGGAUCGCGG
rnacentral:siRNA from 1 species